GAGUAACGCGUGGGUAACCUGCCUUAUACAGGGGGAUAACAGUCAGAAAUGGCUGCUAAUACCGCAUAAGCGCACAGAGCUGCAUGGCUCGGUGUGAAAAACUCCGGUGGUAUAAGAUGGACCCGCGUUGGAUUAGCUUGUUGGUGGGGUAACGGCCCACCAAGGCGACGAUCCAUAGCCGGCCUGAGAGGGUGAACGGCCACAUUGGGACUGAGACACGGCCCAGACUCCUACGGGAGGCAGCAGUGGGGAAUAUUGCACAAUGGGGGAAACCCUGAUGCAGCGACGCCGCGUGAAGGAAGAAGUAUCUCGGUAUGUAAACUUCUAUCAGCAGGGAAGAUAGUGACGGUACCUGACUAAGAAGCCCCGGCUAACUACGUGCCAGCAGCCGCGGUAAUACGUAGGGGGCAAGCGUUAUCCGGAUUUACUGGGUGUAAAGGGAGCGCAGGCGGGAGAACAAGUUGGAAGUGAAAUCCAUGGGCUCAACCCAUGAACUGCUUUCAAAACUGUUUUUCUUGAGUAGUGCAGAGGUAGGCGGAAUUCCCGGUGUAGCGGUGGAAUGCGUAGAUAUCGGGA
rnacentral:rRNA from 1 species